GGAAUCGCGAGCUCAGCCACUCGACUUUGCACUUGGAAUUCGUGAAAUCUACAAAAAAUUACGAUUUUCAUACCUGAAUGUAUAAUCUUGACAAAUAACCCUUUUGGAAAUCUUCUGGGUUACGUUUAGAUGAUUUAUGCUCCAGACUUAUCGCGUGGACAUUGAGAAACGACGUUUUGAAAUUAUUCAAAAAAAUGUGCAAAUUGUAAUCCAAAAACUACCCUUCCCUAAUUUACAAAGAAAAUCUAGGAGACAAGUGGCUAACGAUCACCACAGGAAAGAUAUAUCCAGUUCCAGAGAAAAUAGAACACGGAGAUUGAACAAUUCAAAUCGGUUGUUUCCGUAAACAAGCUGGUUGAAACGAGAGUACAUUUAUAAAAAGCAACUGUCGCCACCGCGUCGUUGUUGAAAAGAAUUGGACGAAACAUUACUUGAAAAAUUAUCGUACAACAAAAGCAGAAGUAACCCUCUCUUCAAAAAGAAAACACUCAAUUUCUAGCAGUGUCCAAUCUUGACGUACAUCAACAAAAAGUGUACAAUAUUGAACUUUUUAUUUCAAUAUCCAUUCUCUUCGCAAGAGAAUCGAAUCCAUCCGAGACAAGUUGAAAAUUUCACGCCACUUUCCCGUGGAACAGUCGGAAAAUAAAAAUGGAAAGAAGCAAAUUUGUCGCCCGUCGAAUCUGCCGGCCAUCUGAAUAGAAUGUUUGACGAGCAACGAGAAAUGAAAUUCAUCAGGAUGUUUCGAAACUGAACGACGUUGAAUUAAAUUUUCACUCGGCUGCACCUACUUCUCGCUCAAAGGUUUUACGAAAUAAAAGAAAAAA